rnacentral:rRNA from 2 species
AUGCAAGUCGAACGAUGAACUUCCUUCGGGAAGGGAUUAGUGGCGAACGGGUGAGUAACACGUGAGAAAUCUGCCCUUCACUCUGGAAUAACUCCGGGAAACCGGAGCUAAUACCGGAUACUCAAAUCUGGCGGCAUCGCUGGAUUUGGAAAGUUUUCGGUGAAGGAUGAUCUCGCGGCCUAUCAGCUUGUUGGUGAGGUAACGGCUCACCAAGGCUACGACGGGUAACCGGCCUGAGAGGGCGAACGGUCACACUGGGACUGAGACACGGCCCAGACUCC